rnacentral:rRNA from 1 species
GCGAGCGGCGGUUUUGUGAGUAAUGCCUAGGGAUCUGCCCAGUCGAGGGGGAUAACAGUUGGAAACGACUGCUAAUACCGCAUACGCCCUACGGGGGAAAGGAGGGGACCUUCGGGCCUUCCGCGAUUGGAUGAACCUAGGUGGGAUUAGCUAGUUGGUGAGGUAAUGGCUCACCAAGGCGACGAUCCCUAGCUGUUCUGAGAGGAUGAUCAGCCACACUGGGACUGAGACACGGCCCAGACUCCUACGGGAGGCAGCAGUGGGGAAUAUUGCACAAUGGGGGAAACCCUGAUGCAGCCAUGCCGCGUGUGUGAAGAAGGCCUUCGGGUUGUAAAGCACUUUCAGUAGGGAGGAAAGGGUGAGUCUUAAUACGGCUUAUCUGUGACGUUACCUACAGAAGAAGGACCGGCUAACUCCGUGCCAGCAGCCGCGGUAAUACGGAGGGUCCGAGCGUUAAUCGGAAUUACUGGGCGUAAAGCGUGCGCAGGCGGUUUGUUAAGCGAGAUGUGAAAGCCCUGGGCUCAACCUAGGAAUAGCAUUUCGAACUGACAAACUAGAGUCUUGUAGAGGGGGGUAGAAUUCCAGGUGUAGCGGUGAAAUGCGUAGAGAUCUGGAGGAAUACCGGUGGCGAAGGCGGCCCCCUGGACAAAGACUGACGCUCAUGCACGAAAGCGUGGGGAGCAAACAGGAUUAGAU